rnacentral:tRNA from 1 species
GACCGGGCGAGUCGGCUGGCGCCGGCCGCAGGCUUCAAACCUGUCGGGCCAACAUUAAAAUGUUGUGCUGAUCAGUUCGAUUCUGAGCCCGGUC